rnacentral:rRNA from 1 species
UCAAGAAACUUCCACAAUGGGCGAAAGCCUGAUGGAGCGACGUCGCGUGAUGGACGAAGUGCUUCGGCACGUAAACAUCUUUUAUGUGGGAUGAAAUUAUUGACAGUACCACAUGAAUAAGGGGCUCCUAACUCUGUGCCAGCAGGAGCGGUAAUACAGAGGCCCCAAGCGUUAUCCGGAAUCACUGGGCGUAAAGGGUGUCGAGGCGGUUGUAUUAGUCGUUCGUAAAAUCUACGAGCUUAACUCGUAGGCGGCGAACGAAACGGUACGACUUGAGGUUUGGAGAGGUGCGUGGAACUCACGGUGUAGGGGUGAAAUCCGUUGAUAUCGUGGGGAACACCAAAGGCGAAGGCAGCGCACUGGCCAAAAUCUGACGCUCACACACGAAAGCUAGGGUAGCGAAGAGGAUUAGAUACCCUCGUAGUCCCUGAGCGGGCUGGCAAGGCGCAU